ensembl:lncRNA
AGGAGACAAUAAAAUAGUUUUGAGGUAAAGUAAAACACUGCUCACCAGCCCAUUCUGAAUCUGAAUUUAAAUUAUUUAGACAUUAUAAUGGACAUACUGUAUAAAUGUUUUAAUUACAGCACUUGUGUGGCCUGCGAAUCAUUUAUGAUUAACAAAUUACAAAGCAUAUGUGGCCCCCAAGACAAAAUUCGGAUGUGGUUAGGGGCUGGGUCAAAAUGCUGAUGUGGCCCCCAAGACAAAAAGUUUGCCCCCCUCUGGUUUACAGCGUAGACGAAGUGUUCAUGGUCAAUGUAACGAGUCAUACCAUGACACCACCACCACUACCGCCCUUCACACAGUGGCGUAUUGAAGCAGGGUAUCUGUGCAAGGUCUGUUAAGCCUGGGAUUUAGUUAUAACAAUGGCAUAUUGAAACCGGAUAUCUGUGCAAGGUCUGUUAAGCCUGGGAUUUAGUUAUAACAAUGGCGUAUUGAAGCAGGGUAUCUGUGCAAGGUCUGUUAAGCCUGGGAUUUAGUUAUAACAAUGGCGUAUUGAAGCAGGGUAUCUGUGCAAGGUCUGUUAAGCCUGGGAUUUAGUUAUAACAAUGGCGUAUUGAAGCAGGGUAUCUGUGCAAGGUCUGUUAAGCCCAUGAUUUAGUUAUAACAGUGGCGUAUUGGAGCAGGGUAUCUGUGCAAGGUCUGUUAAGCCGAUGAUUUAGUUGUAACAGUCUGCUGAGCCCAUGUGGCUUUAAUCAGGGGCCUGUUUGUGUCGAGGCUCAGGCUGGGUCUCCAAUGGCACCCUAUCCCCCUAUUCAGGGACCUGCUUUUGUGAACUACCUGGUCAGAUGAAUGGCACUACGUAGGGGGUUAUGGUGGCAUUAUGGAGGCAGGCUGGAGUCUUGUGGUAUGUGUACACACACACACACACCCCCACUCCCCCCUCGGGCGAGGGUGGAGAGACGAGGAGGGGAGACGGGGGAGAGAGGACGGGGUGGCAGGUUAACGAUGAAGGAGGGAGACGGG